GUGCCAGCAGCCGCGGUAAUACGGAGGGUGCAAGCGUUACUCGGAAUCACUGGGCGUAAAGCGCGCGCAGGCGGCCUUUUAAGUUGGAUGUGAAAGCCUAUGGCUCAACCAUAGAACUGCAUCCAAAACUAUCAGGCUAGAGUGUGGGAGAGGAAGAUGGAAUUAGUUGUGUAGGGGUAAAAUCCGUAGAGAUAACUAGGAAUACCAAAAGCGAAGGCAAUCUUCUGGAACAUUACUGACGCUGAGGCGCGAAAGCGUGGGGAGCAAACAGGAUUAGAUACCCUGGUAGUCCACGCCCUAAACGAUGAAUGUUAGUCGUCGGGUAGCUAGUCUAUUCGGUGAUGCAGCUAACGCAUUAAACAUUCCGCCUGGGGAGUACGGUCGCAAGAUUAAAACUCAAAGGAAUAGACGGGGACCCGCACAAGUGGUGGAGCAUGUGGUUUAAUUCGAAGAUACGCGAAGAACCUUACCUAGCCUUGACAUAUUUUAGAACACUUUAGAGAUAGAGUGGUGCCUUCGGGAGCUAAUAUACAGGUGCUGCACGGCUGUCGUCAGCUCGUGUCGUGAGAUGUUGGGUUAAGUCCCGCAACGAGCGCAACCCUUGUCACUAGUUACUAACGGUUCGGCCAGGACUCUAGUGAGACUGCCUUCGCAAGGAGGAGGAAGGUGAGGACGACCUUAAGUCAUCAUGGCCCUUACGGCUAGGGCAACACACGUGCUACAAUGGCCAU
rnacentral:rRNA from 1 species